rnacentral:pre_miRNA from 1 species
AAUAAGUGCAGCCGUGGAUAUCCGUGCCCAACGUUUGACCGUCCGUCUUAUUUGAAAAAUUUGAAGAUAUUUAGUCACACAUAGAGUACUAUUCAUGUUUUAUCAUCUAAUAGCAAUACAAAUACUAAUCAUAAUUUUUUUUCAAAUAAGACGAACAGUCAAACAUUGAACGUAAAUAGUGCAAAACUGCACUUAUU